GAAUCCUUUCCCCAAGGCGUGGCC
rnacentral:siRNA from 1 species